AUUGAACGCUGGCGGCAUGCUUUACACAUGCAAGUCGAACGGUAACAGGGAGCUUGCUCCGCUGACGAGUGGCGAACGGGUGAGUAAUGCAUCGGAACGUACCCAGUCGUGGGGGAUAACGUAGCGAAAGUUACGCUAAUACCGCAUACGUCCUGAGGGAGAAAGCGGGGGACCGUAAGGCCUCGCGCGAUUGGAGCGGCCGAUGUCGGAUUAGCUAGUUGGUGGGGUAAAGGCCUACCAAGGCGACGAUCCGUAGCGGGUCUGAGAGGAUGAUCCGCCACACUGGGACUGAGACACGGCCCAGACUCCUACGGGAGGCAGCAGUGGGGAAUUUUGGACAAUGGGGGGCAACCCUGAUCCAGCCAUGCCGCGUGAGUGAAGAAGGCC
rnacentral:rRNA from 1 species